GAUGAACGCUAGCGGCAGGCUUAACACAUGCAAGUCGAGGGGCAGCGCGGGGCGGCAACGUCCUGGCGGCGACCGGCGGAAGGGUGCGUAACGCGUGAGCGACAUGCCCGUUGCCCGGGGACAACCGGUGGAAACGCCGACUAAUCCCCGAUGGGACGGAGGCCCUCAUGGGUCUCUGUUGAAAGUUACGGCGGCGACGGAUUGGCUCGCGUCCGAUUAGCUUGUUGGCGGGGUAACGGCCCACCAAGGCUACGAUCGGUAGGGGUUCUGAGAGGAAGGUCCCCCACAAUGGAACUGAGACACGGUCCAUACUCCUACGGGAGGCAGCAGUGAGGAAUAUUGGUCAAUGGGCGGAAGCCUGAACCAGCCAUGCCGCGUGCGGGAAGGAGGCUCUAUGGGCUGUGAACCGCUUUUGCCUGGGGGCAAUAAGGGCGUCGCGCACGUCCGAUGAGAGUACCAGGGGAAUAAGCAUCGGCUAACUCCGUGCCAGCAGCCGCGGUAAUACGGGGGAUGCGAGCGUUAUCCGGAUUCAUUGGGUUUAAAGGGUGCGUAGGCUGUGCGUCAAGUCAGGGGUGAAAUUCCGGGGCUCAACUCCGGGGCUGCCCUUGAUACUGUCGCGCUGGAGUGCGGAUGCCGCCGGAGGA
rnacentral:rRNA from 1 species